rnacentral:rRNA from 1 species
AACAAACGCUGGCGGCGUGUCUUAAGCAUGCAAGUUGAGCGGCAAGGAGGAGAGAUCCUCCCUAGAGUGGCGAACGGGUGAGUAACACGUAGGAAUCUACCCUUAAGACGGGGACAACCCAGGGAAACUUGGGCUAAUACCGGAUGAGAGUGCGAGAGAUUGCAUUUAAAAGGAUGGCGAAAGUUGUCGCUUAGGGAUGAGCCUGCGGUCUAUUAGUUAGUUGGUGAGGUAAGAGCUCACCAAGGCGAUGAUAGAUAGGCGGCCUUAACGGGUGGUCGCCCACACUGGGAUUGAGAUACGGCCCAGACUCCUACGGGAGGCAGCAGUCGAGAAUAGUCUACAAUGGCCGGAAGGCUGAUAGUGCGACGCCGCGUGAACGAGGGAGCCCUUCGGGGUGUAAAGUUCUUUUAUAUGUGAGCAGUGCUUCUUAUAUUAACAGUAUGGGGAGAGAGAUAUUAGCAUAUGAAUAAGCAACGGCUAACUCCGUGCCAGCACG